AAAAUAUCACUUGCACACGAACCCCGAUCAGAGCAAAAAAAUAAGAAAAGAAAGGAUCACCGACAACGAAGAGCGGCGGUGGCGACGGAGUCGAAGCGGUUGCCGAUGUCUGCGGCGCAACGUUGGUGGCGGGAUUGGGCCGUGCAUGCGGGAGACGACGAAGAAGUCGAGUGCCACGAAGAACGACGACGCUCCCGACGCGGGUAACGUUGUUGACAACCCCGACGACGACGGCCGGGAGGAGUUUGCCGAAGUUGGGGUGGUGCCCCUGGUUUCCCUUGCCGCACCAGUUGAAAGGGGGUAAAUGCAGCUUUGGCUUUUCUUUGGAAAAGAAGAAAAAACCCUAAGAAAUCUGGAUGUUUGGACUCGGCCCUUUUCUAUUCUGGACUUCCUUUUUUUAUUUUAUUUAUUUAUUUAUUUAUUUAUUUUUUACUGUUUCCUUAUACUAUUUUUUUUUUGGUUUAAACCAUUUAGUUGUCCCUAUUUUUGGGAGGUUUUCCCAUUUUGAUCCCCGUCUUAUUAGAAUCCCCAAUUGAGUCCCUAUAAGCGCUAAUUUCAAUCAAUCAAGCCNCUGCCGUUAAAUUUAGUUAACGGGACUAACUUUUUUGCACAGCUGGAAGGAUGACCUGUUAAUU
rnacentral:lncRNA from 1 species